rnacentral:rRNA from 1 species
GAUGAACGCUGGCGGCGUGCCUAAUACAUGCAAGUCGAGCGAACAGACGAGGAGCUUGCUCCUCUGACGUUAGCGGCGGACGGGUGAGUAACACGUGGAUAACCUACCUAUAAGACUGGGAUAACUUCGGGAAACCGGCGCUAAUACCGGAUAAUAUAUUGAACCGCAUGGUUCAAUAGUGAAAGACGGCUUUGCUGUCUCUUAUAGCUGGAUCCGCGCCGCAUUAGCUAGUUGGUAAGGUAACGGCUUACCAAGGCAACGAUGCGUAGCCGACCUGAGAGGGUGAUCGGCCACACUGGAACGGAGACACGGUCCAGACUCCUACGGGAGGCAGCAGUAGGGAAUCUUCCGCAAUGGGCGAAAGCUUUACGGAGCAACGCCGCGUGAGUGAUGAAGGUCUUCGGAUCGUAAAACUCUGUUAUUAGGGAAGAACAAAUGUGUAAGUAACUAUGCACGUCUUGACGGUACCUAAUCAGAAAGCCACGGCUAACUACGUG